rnacentral:rRNA from 1 species
GAUGAACGCUAGCUACAGGCUUAACACAUGCAAGUCGAGGGGCAGCAUGGUCUUAGCUUGCUAAGGCCGAUGGCGACCGGCGCACGGGUGAGUAACACGUAUCCAACCUGCCGUCUACUCUUGGACAGCCUUCUGAAAGGAAGAUUAAUACAAGAUGGCAUCAUGAGUCCGCAUGUUCACAUGAUUAAAGGUAUUCCGGUAGACGAUGGGGAUGCGUUCCAUUAGAUAGUAGGCGGGGUAACGGCCCACCUAGUCUUCGAUGGAUAGGGGUUCUGAGAGGAAGGUCCCCCACAUUGGAACUGAGACACGGUCCAAACUCCUACGGGAGGCAGCAGUGAGGAAUAUUGGUCAAUGGGCGCAGGCCUGAACCAGCCAAGUAGCGUGAAGGAUGACUGCCCUAUGGGUUGUAAACUUCUUUUUAAAGGAAUAAAGUCGGGUAUGGAUACCCGUUUGCAUGUACUUUAUGAAUAAGGAGCGGCUAACUCCGUG